CGCGGCCUAUCAGCUUGUUGGUGAGGUAAUGGCUCACCAAGGCGACGACGGGUAGCCGGCCUGAGAGGGCGACCGGCCACACUGGGACUGAGACACGGCCCAGACUCCUACGGGAGGCAGCAGUGGGGAAUAUUGCACAAUGGGCGAAAGCCUGAUGCAGCGACGCCGCGUGAGGGAUGACGGCCUUCGGGUUGUAAACCUCCUUCAGCAGGGAAGAAGCGAAAGUGACGGUACCUGCAGAAGAAGCGCCGGCUAACUACGUGCCAGCAGCCGCGGUAAUACGUAGGGCGCAAGCGUUGUCCGGAAUUAUUGGGCGUAAAGAGCUCGUAGGCGGCUUGUCACGUCGGGUGUGAAAGCCCGGGGCUUAACCCCGGGUCUGCAUUCGAUACGGGCUAGCUAGAGUGUGGUAGGGGAGAUCGGAAUUCCUGGUGUAGCGGUGAAAUGCGCAGAUAUCAGGAGGAACACCGGUGGCGAAGGCGGAUCUCUGGGCCAUUACUGACGCUGAGGAGCGAAAGCGUGGGGAGCGAACAGGAUUAGAUACCCUGGUAGUCCACGCCGUAAACGGUGGGAACUAGGUGUUGGCGACAUUCCACGUCGUCGGUGCCGCAGCUAACGCAUUAAGUUCCCCGCCUGGGGAGUACGG
rnacentral:rRNA from 1 species